UGUGUGUGUGUGUGUGUGCGCGCGCGCACACGCGCGCAUGCAUGCACGUGUGCGCGCGCACACACACAUACCUACU
rnacentral:miRNA from 1 species